UCUAAGGCCCAAGCCACAGUAUGAUGUUCAAUAUUCUAAAUGAGUUUAAAUCCAUUAAUUUGGAAAAAUUUCAUCACGAAGUACUGAAAGCACGUGUGGAUGUGACAAGGGAACAGUGACAAUCAUCUUUUAAAAUGUUACGUGAAGGGAGGGUUGACAGGGAGCAAAGAAGCCAGCCAGGGUCUCAAUUUUCAAAACAAAGAAGGUAGAUUCCAACUUUAGCCUCGAGAGCUUGACACUGAUUGCAGGCACGACUCCCACGAGCUUCUUAACAUUAUCCUCUGUAAGCGCCCGAAAUGGGAAGUGUUGUUACCUACCAGCUAGGGAGAGGUCAAAGGAACUAAUCAUUACAAAGGAACCCAGGGCUAUUUCUUUUUGUUUUUACAGGGUUACUCCACAGCUAUUCUGCAGAAGGUGGAAACGCAGUCCGGCGAGGAACCUGACUGAGUCUGUCACAGAACGCAUGCACCCCGCCCACGUGAAGGAACGUAAACGCUAAGGAAGGAGAGUCACUUGACUAUAACGCUGCCCGAAUGGCCUUAUAAAGACCACUAAUUCAUGGGCUCCUGCAAAGCAAGGGAAGGCGUCUAGGACCAAAGGUCCUGCCUGUUCUCCACUCUGCACAGUUAUUGGGUGAAGAUACUAACUGCAUCCUGAUCACAUCUGCUCAUGCCUCUAAAUGGGGAAGAACAGCUAAUCUGUAUCAUGGAAUCAGCGUCCAAAAAUAUCCUGACCUUCUGGAACAACAGGCUAACGAAAGGUUAAAUUUAAUUGCAUACCUGAAAUGACAACUCCCAAAGAAAACAAAAAAACAUAGCCGUUUUAGGAAAAGCAACAGAUUAGUUCCACACUAGGAACCAAGGUAUAAAAAUCUACAUCCAUCACUGGAGGCUCUAACGAUUAUCCACGUGUCAUCAGAGGGUCAGCGAUGUUCCUCCCAAGAGCAGUUCUAGUUAGGAGGGGGUUUCAGUGUGUUGGGAACCAAGACGCCCCAGUCACAAUUAAGCGACACGUUCAACCUUCUGGCUUACUUCAGAAGAUACACACUGUCCACCAAGUGCAAAAUGAAGGCGCAACCCUGGGAAACGAGGGAGCAAAGGAAAGACGCACGGAAUGCAUAACCUGAAAUCACAUGACCACUCGCAGCGGAGCGCCCACACAAGUGCCGCUGCGAGGCUGCUCGGCCCACCCUGGACAGGCUGCGGGCACCGGCCCGACGCCCACCGCUCCCCAGGGCGCCGCAAUCACAGUGGGCAUCGGAUCCCCAAGCAGUAAUUAACACGCGCGCACACAGACACGCGCGCGCACAAACACACGCACGGACACACGCGCGCACACGCACGCGCACGCAGAACGCACACUCCCCGGCGGAGCCCGGCAGCCCCCCUGGAAGUUCGAGGCGGCCCCGCUGA